rnacentral:lncRNA from 1 species
UCUCUCCUCUCAAUCAUUGUUCCAAACACUCUUAAGAACCUAAAUGAAGAUCAUCGUCAACAAUCGUCUUGAUUGACAGUUAUUGUGGAUUUGGAAGAACGAUACACAAAAUCCCUUACAUCAAAGGUAUUUUUAUCAUUUGAGCAUUUGUUAUUUUGCUUUUUAUUACUUUGAUUUUGCAUUAGGAUGUUAUUUGUUUUGAUCGGUUACUGUAAAAAAUAUGGCCAUGAUGCCACCAAUGUUGGUGAUGAAGGUUUAGGCAAAAGUGAGGUUUCUUGUUUGUUGGCUGGUAUGGUUAUGUGAUUGACUUUACUUUCACUUCCCAGUCGUUGAGUAUGCAGCCGUGGAAGAUUUAUUCUCUUGGUUUGAAGAUGAAAUAUUCCAUAUCUUGGCUUGCCAUCCAAG